UGGGGAAUCUUGGGCAAUGGGGGCAACCCUGACCCAGCGACGCCGCGUGCGGGAUGAAGGCCUUCGGGUUGUAAACCGCUUUCAGCGGGGACGAAGCGAAAGUGACGGUACCCGCAGAAGAAGCCCCGGCUAACUACGUGCCAGCAGCCGCGGUAAGACGUAGGGGGCGAGCGUUGUCCGGAUUUAUUGGGCGUAAAGCGCGCGCAGGCGGCCACGUAAGUCGGAUGUGAAAACCCGAGGCUCAACCUCGGGCUGUCAUUCGAUACUGCGUGGCUCGAGGCAGGUAGGGGAGAUCGGAAUUCCCGGUGUAGCGGUGAAAUGCGCAGAUAUCGGGAGGAACACCGGUGGCGAAGGCGGAUCUCUGGGCCUGUCCUGACGCUCAGGCGCGAAAGCUGGGGGAGCGAACAGG
rnacentral:rRNA from 1 species